rnacentral:lncRNA from 1 species
AGAAAAGCUUAGACAUUCAUAGGAAUAAGACCUCCAGCUAUUUAUGGGUUGAUUACAAGCUCAGUAUGAUUCAAUUGAUGAUUAGAUAGUAGACAUCACCUGUUACGAUUGGAGCCCUGUGGCCAAGAGGACGCCUGUGAACUAUUUCACCUGAUUAGGCCACGCUGGGAUUUUUUGCUUGGGUGAGAGGUCGUGCUUCCCCAGGACACGGGCAGCAGCCUGGAGAGAGGAGUCUCAGAGGGUAACCCUGCUCUUCUCAAAUAUGGAAAGCUCCUAUGUGGAAGGGCAGUGAGUGGGAUUUAUCUUUUUCUGGGGAUUCCAGAUGGCAGAAAAUUAGGCCCACACUGCUGAGCGGGAUUUGAGUGUGAGAAUCCAAGUACAGAAGCUGAAUUUGGGAAAAUAGUCUUGCUAAAGAAAGUGGCAGAUUUUCCCAAUUCCACAUUUUGGAAGUAUCAAGAGCUGUUUCAUGAGAUAAGCUGGCGAGAGGAAAUAGACUACUCUGGUAGGAAACUAGAGCAGCAGAAUGAAGUUUGAGAUCAUCCCAAAAGAUGUAUGUCUGCACCACAUUUUUCUUGACAGGAGAAAAAGUGACAAGAGCUAAUUAAAGGAAAACAGAAUGUUCUUUUU